rnacentral:misc_RNA from 1 species
CUUGGUCGAACGGCUACGGCCCUUGGUGCAAAAAGGUGAGAUUCGCAUUGUUAUUACUUCACGCCGUAUUCCAGACUUUGUGCAGCUGACGGAAUGGGAUCCACUAGGAGGUCUGAGUCUGGGCGACACGCAGCGUUUGCUGGCCGAGCGCAGCAUCAAUCUUUCCCCAAGUAUGGUAGAGACGUUGCACAGCCGCACAGAGGGCAACGCUGAGCUACUGAUCCUGACGAUCCAUGCUCUGCAACACGCCAAAGACCCAGUGCGUCUGCUCGACCACCUCGUACAGACCAGCGAUAUUGAACGAUAUUUGCUCAACGAAGUGGACAAAGG